rnacentral:rRNA from 1 species
GACGAACGCUGGCGGCGUGCUUAACACAUGCAAGUCGAACGGUAAGGCCCUUCGGGGUACACGAGUGGCGAACGGGUGAGUAACACGUGGGUGAUCUGCCCUGCACUUCGGGAUAAGCCUGGGAAACUGGGUCUAAUACCGGAUAGGACCCUGGGAUGCAUGUCCUGGGGUGGAAAGCUUUUGCGGUGUGGGAUGGGGCCCGCGGCCUAUAAGCUUGUUGGUGGGGUGAUGGCAUACCAAGGCGACGACGGGUAGCCUGCCUGAGAGGGUGACCGGCCACGCUGGGACUGGGAUACGGCCCAGACUCCUACGGGAGGCAGCAGUGGGGAAUAUUGCACAAUGGGCGCAAGCCUGAUGCAGCGACGCCGCGUGAGGGAUGACGGCCUUCGGGUUGUAAACCUCUUUCAGCACCGACGAAGCGCAAGUGACGGUAGGUGCAGAAGAAGGACCGGCCAACUACGUGCCAGCCGCCGCAGUAA